AGUCAUCAAGACGAAGGGAAACAAAGGAUGCUCGCUGGUGAGAAAAGGGGAACAUCCUUCCACAUAGACUUUCUGCCUCCUAGUGCCCAGCUGGAAAUGUUUUUCAAGAGAGGGACUGAAACUUUCAAAAGAAGGGACAAAUACCCCAAGGCAUCCCCUCUCUCUCUGCCUGCCCAUCACAUUCACUGCAACUGAAGCAACAAAAGAAGCAGUUGUUGGACUCUGGGGGAUGGGCUCUGGUCAGUAAGACUGCUGAAAGAAAGCACAUGUUACAUUUUGAGAGUGUGCCCCUCCUGUCCCAGCCAUUAUUUUCUCUGCCUGCAGUGCUUGAGUUACCCUUGCAGUGUGGGAAGGGGCAGAGUUACGACAGCUCAGCACAUCUGAAAAUCUCCCCCACAAUGAUCUCCUGGCCUUGGAAAAGUUUUCUGACCCAUGGGGUGCCCUGUGCACUGCCCCAGGCUGUGUCAAUUGAAUUAUCCAAUUGUAGCGCUGAAGGAGGUGCUGCCAUCCAGAGCAGCCAGUUCUGUAUCUAACUUUAGGAUCCUACAGCUCAGGCUGGAUGUGUCCUGGCUUGUGGGCGAGAGACUCCAUUACAAAUACUCACUGAUAUUAGGCCACAAAAGGGUGCUACAAUCUUAACUGUGGAUCAGCCACAGCUGCUGCCAGCACAGGGCUGUAGGGAGAGAUGAGGGUACACAUCAGGAAAGCCAGAGAGAAAGUGUGAGAACCAGAGAUCAGAGACAGGCCUUGCCUGCACUAGGGAUGUCCAGCAGCAGCAGUACUAGCUGGCAAAUGGAGACAGGGCCAUAGCAGCUUCUGGCAUUCUCAGCGCCUCCCCGUCAAUGACACUUGAUCUGAUGGCCAGAGUUCCAGCCCUGCAGAAGCAAGUGCCUCAAGCCACAGCACUGGGAAGUGCCAAAGGUCUCCAGCCAUGAGCAAUCAGCAGAUACUUACGUGGCAUAGCCAUAAACCGUAUUCCCCCAGGGCUCCAGCGGCUGCACCUGCGACAGCGCACACUGCGGGUUGUACCUAGAAAUGAAAGGAUGUAACAGUGUGAACUGAGUGAAGGGGGAUUCACUUUCAUACACGUACAGGGUGGUGCCAUCCCUGGGCACAAACAGAACCCGUAUGUCCAAUGCAAUGACAUCUGCUGAGUGACAGCAAUGCACUUGACAAUUACAUCAGACCCAAUCUCUAAACACUUACCUGCAAGGAAAGCCAUGGAGGAUGGUGUAGCAAUGGCCAUGGGGUCUUUUCAACAGCUGAGAGCUCCCCCAGCCCAGCCAGACUCUGGGCAAUUUGUGCGGCUGGGGCUGUGCAAAGGGGAAAAUGUCUGGCUGAAAUCUGUAGGGCUGACUCCUUGGUGGAGCUGAGAGUGCAGCUGGAAAGGAGCCAUUUGGGGCUCUGAUCCUGGGGCUGGUUUUCCACCAGCAUAGUGGAGAACUGCAUCAGGACUCAUAACAGCUCAUACACUGGUUCGUACUGGCCCCCAGGGACUACUACACUGGAGAGAAUUGCUGGAGCACACACUUCUUCCCUUCCCCAGGGAGCUCGCUAGGCCAGCCAGCCAUCCACAAUGUCAGAGGAAUCCCCCACUGCCCUGUUAGGGCAGCUUUAGUGCAGAGUGGCCUUGCUGUGUCCAAGGAGUUGGCCCAUAAUUUCCAAGAUCAGGUAAAGGGCGUCAGGGCUGAUUUGGUGUGAAAAGCCUGACUUCCACCACAAAGUGCCUGAGAGAUCCUUUGUGCAUGGCCUUAAUCACGGGUUCUGCAUAGGAGGUUGCUAUCUGCAGCCUACCGGGGAAGAAUUAGCUUUGCACAAUAUCUCUGGGUACUGAAGAUACCUGUGCAUAGGGAGGGCCAGAGUCUCUCUCAUUUACACCAGGUUUACACUAGUGCAGUGGAGUCACUCCCAGUUUGCACAUGUGGAACUGAGGUCAGAGCCAGGCCCAGAGUAUUCUCCGCAGCAGUGUUAUCUGCUCUAUUGUGGUCUGGCCUGCUGAGGAGGAGGUACAGGAUGUCCGUUUCAUAAAGUCAGCAGCAGACAGCAGGCUGUUUGUUUAUAACUUGUGACCAGGAACCAGGGGGCCACUGGAUGGCAAUGUUUGUCUGUCUUGCACCUACCUUUCAAACACACCCAGAAAUGACAAACACAGGCAUGAGGUACGUUUCUAAAUAAAAUCAAUGAAUGGAUAGAUUUAUCUGCCCUCAGCUGCUCCAGACAAACACAUGAUCAGCUAGAGGAUUCCAGACACGAGGAACAACAAGACGUCAUAUCCCAGAAUAGGCUAGAGCCCUCACUGGCCCCACACAGUGUGCAAUGUGUGUCUAAUCCAUGGGCUACGCUCAGCUGCUUUGGUGCAAACAGACACACACACACACAGCGACAGAACAGCCUGCCUAGCAAAAGGAGUGGAAAAAUCGGUUCGGGUUUGUUUGCCUUGACUGAGGACAAGGCUCAGCUGGAACAUGUUUUCAGAGCAUGAUGGAGCAGAGACAUCCUUGGCAAUGGAAACGAUGAGCAGGGUUAGUGCCCAGACACUGGGGCUGAUUCUCAUCUCAUUUACAUCACUGUAGCUCACUGGCUUCAAUUAUUUAUGUGCCAUGUAGGUGGGAGGAGAUUUAUGUCCAUUUGUCUUAGGCGACAUGCCCUAGAAAUGCCAACAAGACAAUAAGCUUGAUUUGUUCUCACGCAGGGGGAAACCAGGAGCAAUUCCACUGAAUUCAAUGACGUGAUACCUGUGUAAAGCAGGUGCAAGUACAACUGGAAUCUGGCACAAGGUAGCCCAAUAAUGACAGCCCCAGACAUAGAUCACUUUGUCCUGGUCCUCAUAGUCCCAAGAUCCCAAAGUGCUCAGAUAUCUCAGUGAGGUGUACAGGCAAAAAACCUAAAUGGAACAGAAAAUGGGAACGGCAUCUACCAAAUGGCUAGUUUUAAUGCACUAUUUGUGCAUUUGUCCAUUUAAUGCACUGCUACACAUAGGAGGAGGGCUUCAGCUUCAAAAAUGUUGCAGAAAUCCAAUGUGUGAGUAAGUAAGGGAGGCAGGGUGGGGGCCCACUCCUUAGUUUCUGUCCUGGGGCUCCAGUGAGUCUAAUGCUUGCCUGCUAGGGAGCAUGCUCAGUGCAGAUGGAAUGAUCACAGAUUUGAGCAACAAGCCUCUAACAAGCUCUACUUCAAAUGUGCAAGUGGUGAUUUUCUGCAGCUUACAACUUGGCCAUAUCUGGACAGAUUUCCACGGAGACAACAAAAGACUCUUCUUUAACCCCAGGACCACCCCCUUGCCAAAUUUCAUGUUUCUGCUCCAAAGCAUGAAGGCACUAAAGCUCUUCACAGGUAAUCAAGGGCCCCUACAAGUCCACAUACCAAUGGGACACUAAUUUUUACAUUUGCUGUAUCUGGUCUCAUGACUGGGGAAAUUCACAGGUAUUAUAAGUGUGGGCACCGGUAAUCCUGUUUUACCCUGUUCUGUUUCCUGUUUAAUAUAAUUACUG